rnacentral:rRNA from 1 species
ACGCUCGACACCUACGGGAGGGCAGCAGUCGGGAAUAUUGCGCAAUGGAGGAAACUCUGACGCAGUGACGCCGCGUGCAGGAAGAAGGUUUUCGGAUUGUAAACUGCUUUAGACAGGGAAGAAAAAAGACAGUACCUGUAGAAUAAGCUCCGGCUAACUACGUGCCNCNNCGCGGUAGUAUNGNGGCGNGNGAGAG